UGAGCGCUGCUUGAAGUUCGUAUUUUAUUGCUUUGUACAAGCGAAAAAACCAGGGGAAAAAGAGAACUCCAGGACUGAAAGGUGCAAGCCCAAGGUGGGAAUCCACCACAGGCACCCAGGGGUGAGGGUGGCACAGCAGAGCUCCUCUCUUUUUUAAUUUCAGUUAAAUAAAAAGGCAGAGUUGCUAAAAGGAAAAAAAAAUGGGGUACAAUUAAUGCUGAGCAUCACCCUCCUCACAAAUAACCUCCCUGGAGCUAUGAAAAUAAAUGAUCCCAAAAUCCCUGAAAAUACCUGAGAUGGAGGGAGAGCUGCAGGAGGGAUCCCUGGGAAUGGCUCAUUCCAAGGGUUUAAUGCCAUUAAAUAUUUUCAUGAAUUGAAGGUUUUAACUAAUUAAAGGGUUUAAUGUCAUUAAAGGCAAUUUUUGGUGCAAGGUUAAGCCAAAUCCAGGGGCCUGGCUCUGCAGAUCCUCUCCCAGGGCGAGUCCUAAACAGCGAGAUCCCAAAAGAGCAGCGCCCAAGCUGAGAAAUCAACAUUUUUCCAGAGCUGGGCUUGGGUUUUCGUUCCUCCAGAGGAAAAAGUGGCUGGGAUAAUUAAAUUGCUGGAGAUUUUCCAAGCUGCUCCAGACACCAAAAUCGUGGAUCUUGUCCUCAGCUUAAUGGUAGGCACAAUACAAAUAUAAUUUUUAAAAACCAACCGUGUAUUUUGAGUGUCCUGAGUGCUCUGGGAACACAGACACGUCUGGAAUAUGACUUAGAGGGAAGUACAGUGCUAAAGAAGUGCCUGGAGAAGGGCUCUGCUGGGAUUGCUGCCUUCCCCGAGCUCUCUGCCCUCGUCUUUCCUUGGGAGCAGCUGCUCUGCUCCUCUUUCCAGCCUCCCCCAAUCUUUUUCAGCAGCUAAAAAUGAGAUUUGUGUCUGCAGAGCAGACCCUCAGACCCAGCCUGUGCAGGAGGGAAGGGCAGGAAAACCUUCCUGGAUUUUCUGUUGGAUCCUUGGAUGGACACCUGGGAGCUGCCCACAGAAUCAGAGCUAAGCACAGACAUCACCUCUGGGUGAUUAAACAGCAGAAAUUAUGGGAUUCUUCUUCCCACAGUGGAAAUUCCCUUCCCAACCAGGGGCUGGCACUCGAGGCUCGUGCAAUAAUUAAUUGGGACUGAAAUUUGGGAAUGUUCCCCACGUCCAUGGCACAGACCCAGUCUUUGCACGUGGAUUUUGCUGCCAGGAUCAAGCCCCAUCCAUAGGAAGGAAAUUAAAUUGACUGGUCCCAGCAAGAGCAGACUGGGAGACCUGCUAGGAAUCAGAAUCCUGGAAUCACUGAGGCUGGAAAAGCCCUCCAAGAUCUUUGAGUCCAGUCCUUAACCCAGCAUUAACCCAUGUCCCCAAGAGGCACACCCAUCCCAGUAACUAAAGUUUCCCUCCGAAGUCUGUGUUCUUCCACAGAAAUACUUUUCAGACAAAAAAUUGGGAAGUUUUUCCUAAUAUUUUGUCACUAAGGGCAUGAUUCUGAAGGAAACAGGUUAGCACAGCACUGUACAAUUUAUAAAAUCAUUAUUCUAAGCUGGACAAAAAUGCAAAUUAAAUCUUUCAGCUGCUGUUUCUUGGGAGAAUUUGAUCUUUCUGGAAAAUGAUUGUCUAAGCCAUGCUUGCCAAUUAACACCCCUGUCCUAGGUUUGGUUCUAAUUAGGUCCUAACUAGGCUCUAAUUUCACACCAGCAACACCAAGAUUUGUCUUUGU
rnacentral:lncRNA from 1 species